rnacentral:rRNA from 1 species
AGCGAACGCUGGCGGCAGGCCUAACACAUGCAAGUCGAACGAACUCUUCGGAGUUAGUGGCGGACGGGUGAGUAACACGUGGGAACGUGCCUUUAGGUUCGGAAUAACUCAGGGAAACUUGUGCUAAUACCGAAUGUGCCCUUCGGGGGAAAGAUUUAUCGCCUUUAGAGCGGCCCGCGUCUGAUUAGCUAGUUGGUGAGGUAACGGCUCACCAAGGCGACGAUCAGUAGCUGGUCUGAGAGGAUGACCAGCCACACUGGGACUGAGACACGGCCCGGACUCAGACGGGAGGCAGCAGUGGGGAAUCUUGCGCAAUGGGCGAAAGCCUGACGCAGCCCUGCCGCGUGAAUGAUGAAGGUCUUAGGAUUGUAAAAUUCUUUCACCGGGGACGAUAGUGACGGUACCCGGAGAAGAAGCCCCGGCUAACUUCGUGCCAGCCGCCGCCGUAAUAC